AAUUAUCUUCAUUUACGCAAGCAAGCAACCUGGACUGUUUGAAAAUAAGAAGAGCAUCAUUUUGACCUGAAGCUAUGAAUUUGUUACUUCAUUUACUUUUCCAAGGUGUUCUGCUGUAUGAGACGUUUGCAUGGCAAGUGACAAUGCCAGAGGAAAUUCAUGGCCUCGAAGGUUCCUGUCUGGUUGUACCGUGCUCUUUCUACUACACAUCCUACCCACCCAGUAACCCAAAUAGAGUUGUAUGGUAUAAGUGGCACUCUAUUAACUACCCUUUGGUUUAUGAUUCCUGGUAUCCAAAUAAUGUCGAUGGCAAGUUUCAAGGAAAAACUGAUUUAUACGGCAACCCGUCAAAAUGGAGUUGUAGUCUGCUGAUCAAAACCCUGGAUCUGUCCCACCAUGGAGAGAAAAUAUAUGCAUGGAUUGACCCAGAAAAUGUUGGAAAGAGCACCUAUAGGUUCUUCGACGUGACCUCCAUGAUUCGUGUUGACUGUAUGUAAAUAAUCUUUUGUUUCUUUAACUUACUGUAAUAUUCAUAAACUUGAAGGUUCAUGAGCUUGAUAGUGGUACAACAGCAUCUUAUUAUGAGCAACUGGGCCACACUUUAUACUACUGUAUAAUGAAUAUGUUGGAAAAAAGCAUGGAUUUAAUAAAAGGUAUAAAGGAAGAACAGUCAAUGUAAAUAAUAUAAUUUCUAAC